AGUUGGGUGGCUGAGCUUAAGCGAUAAACUGUAAAUUUAUUUACGAAAUUUAUUUCCCCAACUA
rnacentral:tRNA from 1 species